rnacentral:rRNA from 1 species
GACGAACGCUGGCGGCGUGCUUAACACAUGCAAGUCGAGCGGUAAGGCCCUUUCGGGGGUACACGAGUGGCGAACGGGUGAGUAACACGUGGGUGAUCUGCCCUGCACUUUGGGAUAAGCCUGGGAAACUGGGUCUAAUACCGGAUAGGACUACGCGAUGCAUGUCGUGUGGUGGAAAGCUUUUGCGGUGUGGGAUGGGCCCGCGGCCUAUCAGCUUGUUGGUGGGGUGAUGGCCUACCAAGGCGACGACGGGUAGCCGGCCUGAGAGGGUGUCCGGCCACACUGGGACUGAGAUACGGCCCAGACUCCUACGGGAGGCAGCAGUGGGGAAUAUUGCACAAUGGGCGCAAGCCUGAUGCAGCGACGCCGCGUGGGGGAUGACGGCCUUCGGGUUGUAAACCCCUUUCAGCACAGACGAAGCGUAAGUGACGGUAUGUGCAGAAGAAGCACCGGCCAACUACGUG